rnacentral:tRNA from 1 species
UAAAAAGCUGGCAGAUAAAUGUAAUUAAUUUAGAAUUAAUAAAUAGAAAUUUCUACUUUUUAA